AGGCCGUGACAUCCCUGUCCCAGAGACGCUGGGGACGCUGUAUCAACUGCACUGCCGUGAACUAGAGGAGGGGACCCUGACCCGCCUGCUCCUGCUUCACUCCGUAAUGUCCAGCACGCUGAGGGGUGGCUCUGCUCUGAAUAUAGCUCAGCAGCUGGACCUAAACAAAGAGGCCAGAAAAGGGCUGUCUGGCAACAGGAAGGGUCUUCCUUCUGGAGCAAAGUUUGAGCUUCCGUCUGUUGUCUUGGAGUCAGACAGUGACAGCUACAGAUCAUCUAAAACAACACCUACUAGGAAACUGGGGAACCCAGAUACCCAUCUCAGCCCUACAUUCUUUCGCUUGCCAAGAACCCCACUGCACCAGCAGAAAUCAACUGGUGUUGCUGUAGGAAAGAUGACCUCCAAGCUAUGUUCCCCCACUUCCCUGGACUUAAAUAGGAGAAAGUCAGCUGCAGAGAUCGCUCUUGCGCCACUGAGUCUGGAGGCCCUGACAGAGAUUGCUGUUAGCACCAAAAGCAUCUCCCGCAUUGCAGCCAGUCGGCGUUCCAGAGCCCGACAUAGAGACCAUGGGAGUGAACUCACCUCAGGGCAUUUCUUUGAGGAGGAUAUAUUGGAGCCGAAAUAUCUGCAGUCCAGCUUCACUCCAGAGCCUCAUGUGAAAGGCACUGUGAGUAUUGAGAGCCUCUCAGCAGAGUCUCAGAGAAAGGAGCAGCUGCACUACACAGCCAGGAGAGAACUGAAGAAGGAUCAAGAACGAGAGAACUCAGUUGAGAGGAAAGCCAGGAAGAAAAGAUCUCGUUCCCUUGAACCAACCUCGCAAAAGAUCUCGAAAGCAAAGCAUCGGACUCCCUCGAGCCACAAUAUGGACAAUGUUUCUGAGGACCAGCUGCCCCGAGCUAAACUUUUCCAGCCGUUGAAGAUCAUGAGCAAUUUAUCCCAUGGCACUCCUGCCGCCACAAAGGUCAAAUUCCCCACCAGUCACCAUACAGUAAAGGUCUCUGUCUCUCUCUCAUGCUAUCAAGAAGAGAAUCCAUUACAGGUGCUGGAAAUAAGCAACACUCCCCCAAGCACCGUUCAGCAGAGCAAUGCAGGUCAGACCAGAGGCCAGGUCCUACAAAAGCGGGUCAAAGGGCCCAUAGAUGGUGCCAGCAACCAGCCGAAGAACUUCAAGAACCUGCCGAGGUCAAAAUAAAAUCACCAGGGAGAGCAAGAUUCCAUCUGUUCUCGAGGGACCAGGACUACAGGAGUACUAAAAAGUAGGGAGGCUUUUUCUUAAGACGCAUUUUAAGCAGUAUGCUCUGAGGCUGGGAAGUGGAAGGGGAGGUGUGCACACUGCAUUGGUGCUUUCUCCACAGCCUCUCUACAGGUUUUUUUUUCUUUUUCUUUUUUUUUUUUUGCACUGUGCUCCAGCUGUUAGUUUCCUUUAAGAUGAACUGUGGAUUCUUUUGUUAAUAACAUGCAAAAGAAAAGGAAACUCCAUUUGUCCAUCAGCACUCUUAGUCCAGGAGACAGCAGUAUGGAGUCCACCAUGUGGGAUUCUGCAUGCAGCACAUCCUCUCUUUUCUGUGGAAAGCUCCCACACAUGUGGGGGGGUGUGGGAGGCUAUUUAAUUAUUAAAAGAAAUUGCACACUCUUUUGAAGUAGCCCCUGCCCCCUUCUCCGAGGUUUAUACACAUUGUCUUGGAGCUGGAAAAGGUGAAGCCUAUCUGGAAUGCUGCUCAGCUGAGCGGAUGUUUGGCAGUGGGAGCAGCCAGCGGCAUUCUAAGCGCUUGGCCACGUGCAGAGCAUUUCACAUCUGAUAGGAGUGUGAAAAAGAGGUUUGGUGGCUGGCAGAGACUUUGUUAUGAGCUGGGUUGGAGGUGAACAAAGGCAAUGUGUUUUUCUUCUUAAAAACCAAACCCCUCUUUCCAGCAGUUCUCCCUCUGGUUUCUUGGAGGGACAUGCAUUUUGUAAAUCAAUACUAGACUUACCAUUUUCCUUUCUUGGCCCUGUUAUUUUCUUCACGUUGCAAAUAAAGUGGCA
ensembl:lncRNA